AUGAACGCUGGCGGCGUGCUUAACACAUGCAAGUCGAGCGAUGAAGUUUCCUUCGGGAAACGGAUUAGCGGCGGACGGGUGAGUAACACGUGGGUAACCUGCCUCAUAGAGUGGAAUAGCCUUCCGAAAGGAAGAUUAAUACCGCAUAAUGUUGAAAGAUGGCAUCAUCAUUCAACCAAAGGAGCAAUCCGCUAUGAGAUGGACCCGCGGCGCAUUAGCUAGUUGGUGGGGUAACGGCCUACCAAGGCGACGAUGCGUAGCCGACCUGAGAGGGUGAUCGGCCACAUUGGGACUGAGACACGGCCCAGACUCCUACGGGAGGCAGCAGUGGGGAAUAUUGCACAAUGGGGGAAACCCUGAUGCAGCAACGCCGCGUGAGUGAUGAAGGUUUUCGGAUCGUAAAGCUCUGUCUUUGGGGAAGAUAAUGACGGUACCCAAGGAGGAAGCCACGGCUAACUACGUGCCAGCAGCCGCGGUAAUACGUAGGUGGCGAGCGUUAUCCGGAUUUACUGGGCGUAAAGGGAGCGUAGGCGGAUGAUUAAGUGGGAUGUGAAAUACCCGGGCUCAACUUGGGUGCUGCAUUCCAAACUGGUUAUCUAGAGUGCAGGAGAGGAGAGUGGAAUUCCUAGUGUAGCGGUGAAAUGCGUAGAGAUUAGGAAGAACACCAGUGGCGAAGGCGACUCUCUGGACUGUAACUGACGCUGAGGCUCGAAAGCGUGGGGGGCAAACAGGAUUAGAUACCCUGGUAGUCCACGCCGUAAACGAUGGAUACUAGGUGUGGGGGUUUCAACACCUCCGUGCCGCCGCUAACGCAUUAAGUAUUCCGCCUGGGGAGUACGGUCGCAAGAUUAAAACUCAAAGGAAUUGACGGGGACCCGCACAAGUAGCGGAGCAUGUGGUUUAAUUCGAAGCAACGCGAAGAACCUUACCUACACUUGACAUCCCUUGCAUUACUCUUAAUCGAGGAAAUCCCUUCGGGGACAAGGUGACAGGUGGUGCAUGGUUGUCGUCAGCUCGUGUCGUGAGAUGUUGGGUUAAGUCCCGCAACGAGCGCAACCCUUGUCGUUAGUUACUACCAUUAAGUUGAGGACUCUAGCGAGACUGCCUGGGUUAACCAGGAGGAAGGUGGGGAUGACGUCAAAUCAUCAUGCCCCUUAUGUGUAGGGCUACACACGUGCUACAAUGGCUGGUACAGAGAGAUGCAAUACCGCGAGGUGGAGCCAAACUUAAAAACCAGUCUCAGUUCGGAUUGUAGGCUGAAACUCGCCUACAUGAAGCUGGAGUUACUAGUAAUCGCGAAUCAGAAUGUCGCGGUGAAUACGUUCCCGGGUCUUGUACACACCGCCCGUCACACCAUGAGAGUUGGCAAUACCCGAAGUCCGUGAGCUAACCGCGAGGAGGCAGCGGCCGAAGGUAGGGUCAG
rnacentral:rRNA from 1 species